UAAAUCUCAUAACUGGAGAUGAAGUAACCAAUAAAAUAAACCAGUUCUUUACUGCUGAAAGAUCUAUAAAAGUACUGGAGAUGGCCAAGUCGGGGAAAAGAAAUGCUAAAAUAUUGACCUCGUGACUAACAUUGUGGCUGCCAUAGGAUCUGAGUCAAUAUAGAAGGUUUGUCAAUAUAGAAGUCAAUAUAAAAGGUUUAUAAUGUCUAUAGAUCAAUAUAGAUGUCAAUAUAGAAGGUUUAUAAUGUCUCUUUAUUUAAUAUUUAUUUUAUGUUUAUUUAUUUAAAAAAGUGUUUACAUAUUUUUAGCACAACAAAUAAGAGCAUCGAUGUUGUGCUUGCCCUGCCAUGUUUGGUGAAAAAACUGAAAGAUGGGUCGUGAUAAAUAAGGAAUCAACUCUAAGCACACCAACAAUAAACAUUACUUUCUCAAAUCAAGCCAAUAUUCUGCAUUUUGAAGAUGUGCAUAUAGCGAUCUAUCUCGAUGGUUUAGUUAUUUGUAACGUUCUAUCUAUCGAUGAAACAUCUUGAUAAAAGUCUUGAUAGCAUCUUAAUGGGUUUUUGAAAUAGCCUUCGAUCCGCGACUGCAGAAAACAUUGACAUUUCUAGCCAAUUAUAUUUGUGGGCUUAGUGAGUACUGUGUCAGUCCACCGGUUCAGCGAUUGUUGAACAAGUUGUUGUAAACUUUUAUUUGUAAUAAAAGUAAAAUAGCUUUUUUUUAAA